rnacentral:lncRNA from 1 species
GUGCUCUUUCACUCGCCUUCCACUCCCAUCCGGCUGACUUGCUUUCAGUUCAACUCCUCGUAAGUACUCCCCCAUUUCCUUCUGGUAGUGUCGGGUUCUUCUCCCUCUAGCCCCUGCAAUGACUGAUAAACUAGGACCCUUUCCCAUCCCCUGAUUAUGUAUAUGCUUGUGCCUUCUCAGAGAUGAGAAUAUUAUUAUGAUAAAUAGUAGCAAAUGUACGAGUGAGGCGUUUUGGCUCCCAGGAUCAUCUGCACCUGCGCUCAAUAAAAAAAAUCAAAACAAUUACUAGAAGAUUUCAAACAAUUCCAAUUUUUUUUGGCAUGGUAGAUAAUUUGGUGCGUGAUGUCCGCUCCAAAUUUCAAAUCAUUUGGACAUCUGAGUAGCUCUCGGCAAAAAAGACAAAUUUAGGGUCUGUUAAAUAGUGUACUGUUCAUAUACUGUUCUGACCCAAUUUAUCUUUUUUGCUGAGAGCUACUCAAAUGUCCAAAUGUUCUGAAAUUUGGAGCGCACCUCACACACCAAAUUAUCUACCUUGCACAAAAAAAUUGAAUUUUUUCUGAAUUGUUUCUUGAGUGGGUGCAGAUGAGGCCGGGCUCAGAAUUGGAUAUUCGCAAUGUACUACUUACACUUUACUAUGCUUCGUUUUUUAACUUUUACUGAUUGCUACAUUGACGUGAAACUUUUUUAUGUGGUUAAGAGUAUCAAGUCAGAGUGGUAACUUGCGUGUUGUCCUGUCUAUGCAAUAUUAUGCCUGCGAGCUAGAAACCAGAUGCUUCUGCUUUCUUACUCCAUUGAGCCCCUCAUGUGCCCACUCUUCUAUUCUUUUAGCCUCUACUCAGACUAAUAUGACCAAAUACUUCUAAUAUUAGAAGUUGAAGGUGUGCCACUACACUGCAAAUUUCCUACUGUUAUUCUCUGUUUCAAGUGUUGGUUUUGUCUAAUAAUUCUGAAUCAUUCGCCUUUGAAGCUUUUUGACACAAUUUCCACAAUGGUGGAGCUAAUGUUUACUGUUUUGUGUCAUACAAAAUUAUGAGAGUAACUGCAAUGGCUUUUCCUGGAAGAAUGGUGCAAAAUUGUUUGACUGAUGAUACUAUAUUGCUUCCUCCGCAGGUUACAUUCUGGUGACUGAAAUGAAGGAAUGGGUUGUUCGCUGUAGUGUCUACUAUUUUGUAUGUUCGACGCGCAGAUUGGCUCUCUAUGUAGCAUGCACCGGUCAGCUGUGAAGUCCAUUUGUAGCAAUCAAUUGCUUAAUUUGACAAUUUCUAUGCUCUUCAUGAAGGGAACAUUGACUUGCUUCGUUUAAUUAGUACUCUGUACUUCACUUGUCGUUCCUUUAGUUUGCUGCUUUUCAAGCAAGCUCACCUAUGAAUUGUCUGCUUGCAUUUGGUGUGUGCGCAAGUUGGUUGCGUUUGGUUAUCUCGUGCCUUGUAUAUUGCUCGUGUUCCACAAUGUCGCAUUGCGCGUGCGUGUGUGGAAUUUCCAUCUGGUUCCGAACUCGGUAUUUUGAAACAUGGUUCUGAGUAAUGAAUGUCGAAUCGCAGCAGUAUUUCUACUUGGGAACUGGGAAGCAGUUCCUGUUUGUUAAACUACACCUUACAUAGAUACUCCUGUUUCAGUGCUAGUUUGGAUGCUGGGAAGGCUUCUUAAUCUGGAUGUUGUGAUCCGGACAUUAGCGCGGAUUUGCUUCUACACAUCGCUGACCGCACCCACUUUAAGAUUCACAGUCUUUUAAGAUUACAUCAGUGGUGUGAUGAU